rnacentral:tRNA from 1 species
UCCGAUAUGGUGUAGUGGCCAACAUGAUGCCCUCUCAUUCCCACGAGAGGUUAGGCAUAGCCCCGAGUUCGAUUCUCGGUUUCGGAA